UACAGGGGGUGCAAACGUUGCUCGGAAUUAUUGGGCGUAAAUCGCGCGUAGGCGGCCACUUAAGUCGGAUGUGAAAGCCCUUGGCUCAACUGAGGAAGUGCACCCGAAACUGAAUGGCUUGAGUACUAAAGAGGGUCGCGGAAUUCCCGGUGUAGAGGUGAAAUUCGUAGAUAUCGGGAGGAACACCGGUGGCGAAAGCGACUCUCUGGACGGCAACUGACGCUGAGGCACGAAAGCGUGGGGAGCAAACAGG
rnacentral:rRNA from 1 species